AUGCACUCUGCUGCACCAAGGGCACAAGGAUGAUUCAUCGGGAUUUGGAAUUCCUAGAGAAUUGUCUUCGUGAAAAGCUGGGGAAAAAAUCCCUCUAAAUUCCAUCUCUUAGUUUUCCAUAUUGUUGCAUUUCAGAGGAACAUCAAGAAAUC
rnacentral:other from 15 species